rnacentral:rRNA from 1 species
UGAGGAAUAUUGGUCAAUGGGCGUAAGCCUGAACCAGCCAAGUCGCGUGAGGGAUGACUGUCCUAUGGAUUGUAAACCUCUUUUAUUCGGGAAGAAUAAGUGUUACGUGUAACACGAUGCCUGUACCGAAUGAAUAAGCAUCGGCUAACUCCGUGCCAGCAGCCGCGGUAAUACGGAGGAUGCGAGCGUUAUCCGGAUUUACUGGGUGUAAAGGGAGCGUAGACGGCUAUGCAAGUCUGAUGUGAAAACCCGGGGCUCAACCCCGGGACUGCAUUGGAAACUGUGUAGCUAGAGUGUCGGAGAGGUAAGUGGAAUUCGUGGUGUAGCGGUGAAAUGCUUAGAUAUCACGAAGAACUCCAAUUGCGAAGGCAGCUUGCUGGACUGUAACUGACGCUGAUGCUCGAAAGUGUGGGUAUCAAACA